UACGGGGGGGGCAAGCGUUGUUCGGAAUUACUGGGCGUAAAGGGUGCGUAGGCGGUUGUUUAAGUCUGUCGUGAAAUCUCCGGGCUCAACCUGGGAAUGGCGAUGGAUACUGGACAGCUAGAGUGUGGCAGAGGAUGGUGGAAUUCCCGGUGUAGCGGUGAAAUGCGUAGAGAUCGGGAGGAACAUCAGUGGCGAAGGCGGCCAUCUGGGACAACACUGACGCUGAAGCACGAAAGCGUGGGGAGCAAACAGG
rnacentral:rRNA from 1 species